UUAUUCAUAUGCAUCAGAAAUGAAACCUGAAUAGUAAGCUUGGUGGAGGGAAAACAAACCGCUCAUGAGGCUCUCAGUCUGAGGGGUGGGGAAAGGAGAAAGCCAGCAAGCAAUUAGACAAGUAGAUAUGUAAUUACAAAUUACGAUACAUGCAAUGCAGAAAAUGAACUGUGUGCUGCCGGGCUGAGUUUAAAUUUGCAAUCUUUUUUUUAAUUGACCCGGAUUCAGAAGGGGUCAAUAGCAGCUGUUUUUACGGUUUCUCUGGGUGCUCAGCCCAGAACAGUAUGAAGCUCGUUAACAGCCCCUCCCCUUCUUGUCUUCCCAGCCGGGUGGAGCAAAAUGAGCACGCAGUGAGCCGGCCCAGCCUCUCUCCCAGCCGGCCCGACGCCCACCAUGAACCACUUGGAGGGCUCCGUGGAGGUGGAGGUGACCGACGAGGCGGCAGGCGGGGAGGUGAACGAGUCGGUGGAGGCUGACCUGGAGCACCCCGAGGUGGAGGAGCAGCAGCAGCGCUAUGCGGGCCGCCCCGGGCGCGGGCGCGCCGUCGAGGACCCGCGCGCCCCGCCGGGGCAGCAGGAGGAGGAGGAGCGCGGGGAGUGCCUGGCGCGCUCGGCCAGCACGGAGAGCGGCUUCCACAACCACACGGACACGGCCGAGGGCGACGUGAUCGCCGCGGCCCGCGACGGCUACGACGCGGAGCGCGCGCAGGACCCCGAGGACGAGAGCGCCUACGCCGUGCAGUACCGGCCCGAGGCCGAGGAGUACACGGAGCAGGCGGAGGCCGAGCACGCCGAGGCCACGCACCGCCGCGCGCUGCCCAACCACCUGCACUUCCACUCGCUGGAGCACGAGGAGGCGAUGAACGCGGCCUACUCGGGCUACGUGUACACGCACCGGCUGUUCCACCGCGGCGAGGACGAGCCCUACGCCGAGCCCUAUGCCGACUACGGGGGCCUCCAGGAGCACGUGUACGAGGAGAUCGGGGACGCGCCCGAGCUGGAGGCGCGCGACGGGCUGCGGCUGUACGAGCAGGAGCGCGACGAGGCCGCCGCGUAUCGCCAGGAGGCCCUGGGCGCGCGGCUGCACCACUACGACGAGCGCUCCGACGGCGAGUCCGACAGCCCGGAGAAGGAGGCGGAGUUCGCGCCCUACCCGCGUAUGGACAGCUACGAGCAGGAGGAGGACAUCGAUCAGAUUGUGGCCGAGGUCAAGCAGAGCAUGAGCUCGCAGAGCCUCGACAAGGCGGCCGAGGACAUGCCAGAGGCCGAGCAGGACCUGGAGCGCGCCCCCACCCCGGGCGGGGGCCGCCCUGACAGCCCCGAGCUGCAGGCGCUGGCGGGGCAGCAGCGGGCGGCGGGCACCGCGGGCGGCGAGGCGGGGCAGCGGUACAGCAAGGAGAAAAGGGAUGCCAUCUCGCUGGCCAUCAAGGACAUCAAAGAGGCCAUCGAGGAGGUGAAAACCAGGACCAUCCGUUCGCCUUACACCCCCGACGAGCCCAAAGAGCCCAUCUGGGUCAUGCGCCAGGACAUUAGCCCCACCAGGGAUUGUGACGACCAGAGGCCGGUGGAUGGAGAUUCCCCGUCUCCUGGCAGUUCCCCUCCCCUGGGGGCAGAGUCUUCGAGCCUACCCCUUCACCCCAGCGACCCCGCGGAGGCCUCCUCGAAUAAAGAGUCAAGAAAAAGCUUGGCUUCAUUCCCAACCUACGUUGAAGUUCCCGGACCCUGUGACCCGGAAGACUUGAUCGAUGGGAUCAUUUUUGCUGCCAAUUACCUUGGCUCCACCCAGCUGCUCUCAGACAAAACUCCUUCCAAAAACGUGCGCAUGAUGCAGGCCCAGGAAGCCGUGAGCAGGAUCAAGGCUCCCGAAGGGGAAUCUCAGCCGAUGACCGAGGUGGAUCUCUUCAUUUCUACCCAGAGAAUCAAAGUACUGAAUGCCGACACACAGGAGACGAUGAUGGACCACCCUCUGAGGACCAUUUCCUAUAUAGCAGACAUCGGGAACAUCGUCGUACUGAUGGCCCGCAGGCGGAUGCCCCGCUCCAACUCCCAGGAGAAUGUGGAAGCCUCCCACCCAUCCCAGGAUGGAAAAAGGCAGUACAAGAUGAUAUGCCACGUCUUUGAGUCUGAGGAUGCCCAGCUGAUCGCACAGUCCAUCGGGCAGGCCUUCAGCGUGGCAUACCAGGAAUUCCUCAGGGCCAACGGGAUUAACCCUGAAGACCUCAGCCAGAAGGAGUACAGUGAUCUGCUCAACACCCAGGACAUGUACAACGACGACCUCAUCCACUUCUCCAAGUCGGAAAACUGCAAAGAUGUCUUCAUAGAGAAGCAGAAAGGAGAAAUCCUGGGUGUGGUGAUUGUGGAGUCUGGCUGGGGGUCCAUCUUGCCAACGGUGAUCAUCGCCAACAUGAUGCAUGGAGGCCCCGCCGAGAAAUCAGGGAAGCUGAAUAUCGGGGACCAGAUCAUGUCCAUAAAUGGCACCAGCCUGGUGGGCUUGCCUCUGUCCACCUGCCAGAGCAUUAUUAAGGGUUUGAAGAAUCAGCCCCGGGUCAAGCUGAACAUCGUGAGGUGUCCUCCAGUGACGACCGUGUUGAUCAGGAGACCGGAUCUCCGCUACCAGCUGGGUUUCAGCGUCCAGAAUGGAAUCAUCUGCAGCCUCAUGCGAGGGGGCAUAGCCGAGAGAGGCGGCGUCCGCGUGGGACAUCGGAUCAUCGAGAUCAACGGGCAGAGCGUGGUGGCCACGCCUCACGAGAAGAUCGUCCACAUCCUCUCCAAUGCGGUGGGGGAGAUUCACAUGAAGACGAUGCCGGCUGCCAUGUACCGACUGCUGACGGCCCAGGAGCAACCCGUUUACAUCUGAGGCCGUGUCCCCCCGCCUGGCGGCUUGCAUGGAGGACUGUCCUCACUCGUGGUGUGUUUCUCGUGCUGCAUCUGUGUGCCCACUGAGACAUUUCCCUCUCACGCCCAGCACCGGUUCUACACAGGAAGAGAAGAAUCUGCAGACCUCUUUACUCUCUCUCCAGUUUGAAUUUUUUUUUUUAACGCCCAGAAACUUUUGUACCCACGCCCUUGAGGGUAGAGAGCAGCCAGUACCCACCGGGUGUCUGCCCAGACCAUCCUGAAGGGCCCCCGGGGGCUCCCAGGAGGACCGUCACGGCUCCAGGGGAGUCCUCCCUUCCCCCAAGAGGUGCUCCUGGGGGGGCAGUGAGGGCGCUGAGUCAGCAGGGCCUACAGUCCAGCGGCUGGUCUUGGCUCUGAUUGGCUCAGUGUAUGGGAACACGGUGUAUCAGCAGAGACCAGCUGUGUCUUUCAGGGUUUGCCCUGCCCACCACACUGGACUUGGGGCUCCACACCCCUCCGCCCAGAAUUUCUGAGCCAACCUUAUGCCUCUUCCAUAACUACAUUUAGUUUCGACAUAAUUGCGUUCUUAAAGGUGAGCCUUCUCCCCCAAGGGUAGGAGGGAGACGGCCUGGGACCAGGGUGCCAUCUUGGUGCAGAGAGCUCGGCAGGUCCUGGGGCAGCCCAGCCGCCUCAGGCUGUGCUAAGGUCACCAACCAGCCGAGAGACAUGGGCAGGUACUUUCUUCCUCCCUCUCUGCCACACAGGUACGUAUACCGCCUCUCUUGUGUAGGUAUCGCCCUCGCCUCCUUCCCUCACCAGUGAGGCACACAGAGCCCUUGGAAAGCCCACCUCGCCUCUCCACGAGGUCCCUUCCCCUGGCAGGUGAGGCCUGCAGGGGCUGCUCAGCCUUGUCCGGGGCGAGACCCCCCCACCCGCCCCGAGGCCUGGCCCCACCAGCGCCGCCUUGGCUCAGGGUCCUAGUGGACUCCCUUCGUGCCCCCACUCCACACUCACCCUGGGGGUCUCGGAAGGACGGACUGCUCCCGUGGAGGAAGAGAACGCAGAUGCAGUCGUGUUAGGCUUCCUGGCCCGAGGGCCCAGGCAAAAAGCCACUCUUGCUGCUUGGCUGGGAAAUGCUGGUGACUCAGCUUCGGGGACAGGUUCUCAGCUUCGUCUACCCGUCCUGGUCCAGCCAGGAUGCACCAGAACGCAUCCUGUCUCUGCCUUCUCACACGGGAGCAUUUCAGGGAGCCACCGUCAGCCUUGGGUUCACAAGAGGAGGAGACCCCCAGAGACCAAGGCCUGGAGGGCACGCCCUCCCCAGAGCAGGCUCCUCAGGGCCUGGAGCCCACCAUGGAACAGCGGCCUCAGAGAGUCCCAGACUAAACGACUACCUCCCCCAUCACUUCUGCCGCCCCUGAGGCCCCCCCAUUCGCACCCAACGUCCCCAUCUGCACGCUGAGGAAACCCAUCCACACGCCCUUCUUGGGUCCCUCGACCCAGUGGUGUGGCUGUUACCAAUGUUUACAACCGAGGGCCACCUCCUUUUAGACCUGUUUACUCUCUCUCUUCCAAGGCCGCUUGCUGGUCUGAGCUUCGUGUCUGUCUGCGCCUUCCCUGGCUUGGGCCCUCUGGGGCACACGACCCGAUUCUUUGCCCCCCUCCAUCACAGCAGGGCGUGAGGACCACGUGGGAAGGAAAUUUCUUGUACAUAUUCAGCACAGCCCCUAGAGUCUGAACUUGUACUAUUGUUCUGUAAAGAGGGUGAAAUAGAGCUUAUUGUAAAGCUUGGGACAAGUAGAGUAUUGUAUUUGUAACAAUAUUGUUCUUUGUAUACACAAAACUCAAUGAUCUCUAUAUAUAAAUAUAAAUUAUAUAAAUAAAAUAUAUAUACACGUGAGCCCGGAAUGAUGGCACCACACACCCACUGAAUGUACUUGCUCUGACAGUCUGGUCACCGGCCCGGCCCGCCCUCCCCUCCUCUGUACCGUUUUGGGGGUUGUGAUGUAUUUAAUGUGUUCUCUUCCUUGAUUUCACUGAACGCUAAUGUCUGUAAGAGUCGCUGCAACAAUAAACAAGAACUUCGCCUCUUGGCCCAGUGUCGUGUUGUUUCGGGGGAGGGACAGGAUGCCAGGUGGGGGAAAGAUGGCAUCUUGUUCCCUGCAGGCCCUCUCCUGGCCCGCCCGUCAGGCCAGCACCAGGUGGGCGCCACAGUGGGUGGGCCUGCUCUGGCCCCCGUCACCAAGCCCCCUGCAAGGGUGCUGUCCCCUGGGGGAUGACUGUCCCCGGGAGUGGGGUCUGGCACCCGACACUUUCCCCCUCGGCAUGAUCUCCGCCACA